CCUACGGGCGGCAGCAGUCGAGAAUCAUUCACAAUGGGGGAAACCCUGAUGGUGCGACGCCGCGUGGGGGAAUGAAGGUCUUCGGAUUGUAAACCCCUGUCAUGUGGGAGCAAAUUAAAAAGAUAGUACCACAAGAGGAAGAGACGGCUAACUCUGUGCCAGCAGCCGCGGUAAUACAGAGGUCUCAAGCGUUGUUCGGAAUCACUGGGCGUAAAGCGUGCGUAGGCUGUUUCGUAAGUCGGGUGUGAAAGGCGCGGGCUCAACCCGCGGACGGCACAUGAUACUGCGAGACUAGAGUAAUGGAGGGGGAAGCGGAAUUCUCGGUGUAGCAGUGAAAUGCGUAGAUAUCGAGAGGAACACUCGUGGCGAAGGCGGGUUACUGGACAUUAACUGACGCUGAGGCACGAAGGCCAGGGGAGCGAAAGGGAUUAGAUACCCUAGUAGUC
rnacentral:rRNA from 1 species